rnacentral:rRNA from 1 species
GAUGAACGCUGGCGGCGUGCCUAAUACAUGCAAGUCGAGCGAACAGACGAGGAGCUUGCUCCUCUGACGUUAGCGGCGGACGGGUGAGUAACACGUGGAUAACCUACCUAUAAGACUGGGAUAACUUCGGGAAACCGGAGCUAACACCGGAUAAUAUAUUGAACCGCAUGGUUCAAUAGUGAAAGACGGUUUUGCUGUCACUUAUAGAUGGAUCCGCGCCGCAUUAGCUAGUUGGUAAGGUAACGGCUUACCAAGGCGACGAUGCGUAGCCGACCUGAGAGGGUGAUCGGCCACACUGGAACUGAGACACGGUCCAGACUCCUACGGGAGGCAGCAGUAGGGAAUCUUCCGCAAUGGGCGAAAGCUUGACGGAGCAACGCCGCGUGAGUGAUGAAGGUCUUCGGAUCGUAAAACUCUGUUAUUAGGGAAGAACAAAUGUGUAAGUAACUAUGCACGUCUUGACGGUACCUAAUCAGAAAGCCACGGCUAACUACGUG